AGAAAUAUUGACAUUCUCACUCCAGUGGAGACUAGUAAAUGUUGUCUGGAGAACUGUUCUGUUUGAUUUCCUAAUUUUAAUUGCUUGAGGCAAUUCCUCCAGCACUUAAAUUAAUUAUAGCGAAAGAGACUUCUAGACACUGUAGAGUGAAUGUGGUUCUGCUGUGGAGAGCAGCAGGAUCUGGGAUGCAGAAGUGGAUGGAGGCAGGCGUCACAUGAUGGCAAUGAGUAGUGGAGCACUGAAGAAUUUAGGGGAGGUGGAAGAGAAGGAGCAGAAAAGGAGGAGCUGGUGGAUAUCUUCAUGUGGAGAAUCAGAAUGCUAUUUUUAAAAGUGAGCAAACCCCUCUAUGAAAACCUAUAAAAGAGAAGACUACCCAUAUAUUUCUGUCUUCAGCUUCACCCUGAAUUUCAACCUCUGCUUGGCUCACCAGCCACUUCCAUUCACUCUGAUGUGGAUCUGGAGAUCCUUCCCAACAAACGAACGUGAUUCUUA